GUCCGGUUCGCAUGCACAAAGGUGACAUUGGGUCACACCCAAGGGAGAGAGGCGGGAGAGAGGAAACCCAGAUCACGUGGAGAGUGCCAGUAAUUGCGGAUCAGCCUCAGGAAUGGAGAUGUACGAUGUACUUCAAUCCCUUUCUGCCUUUUCACCGGGGGUGUUUUAAGCCUCCCUCCCGCCUCAAUUGGUUAACGGAGGGUAACCAAACGCUAGCCGGUAGACUGAUAAUGUCAACACAUGACGCGGCGAAGGUAGAUCUCAGAUUUCUAGGUGGGGAAAAGGAGAGAGAGGAAGAGACAGAGGCGCCAAAGGUUCCUGUCCAGAGAGACGGAAACUGGAAGAGGACGAACAAGACAGAGUAAAUGUCUUGAUUAAUUUAAAACUUAGUUGUAAUUGCUUCUUUGCCAAUGAUAGUCUACGGAAUUGUGAAGUCCAUACAUUUGCAGCAAUUUAAGACCCCAGGAUGUGAGGUGGUCCCAGGAGAAGAAUCAUCAUGGAAACGAAGUGGAAACUGACCAGUGGACUCAGACACCACUCAGUGCCAACAGUGGGGGGAUAGAACAGACAGAGCUAACUUUGGGGACCAGGGAGGAGAGUCACGGCCGACCUGCAGUUCUGAACAGGAACCCCAACCAGACCCGGUUCACAUCCUCCCUUUCCUUCAGACUCUCCUCUCAACACAGCAAGAAAAACGACCUGGAAAAACUAGAGUCCACAGCUCAGAGGGAACACUGUCUACACAGGUGAGACAGAGCAUUUUUAAAGCUAGAGUUUAUUGCCUUAGUUAUGGGAUUUUGCAUUAUACAGUGAUGCAUUUUUUUAUUGCCCCUCUCUUAGACACUAUCCUUCUUUUACCAUCUAUGUAUGUGUACAGACAGAAUUGCACCAACACGGCUCCAUAAAUCAAUAUGGUUUAACCAAGGUUAAUUAGUUCCUUGGACUGCUGUACUGAGGAAAUACUUCAGAUUGAUUUCUUAGGUGUGUGUGUGUGUGUGUGUGUGUGUGUGUGUGUGUGUGUGCAUGAUUCUGUGCGCGCGUGUGUAAUAUGUGUCAGGGAUGAAUGCAACUCUUAUCAGUACGAGUCAUUUAUCAAACACUGUCCCUUAGUAACAGACGACCUUUACCUGGCUGUAUUGUCACCUAUCCAUGUCAGCUCUUAAGACUGAGGCUACACACCUCUCAACAUCAACUUCUAUACUAGCACUGUGGCCCUGUGUUUGUGUGUGAUGUCUUUAUUACAAGUGUGAUGUUAAGGCAUUCAGUUAAUAGUUCCACUAUUGCUAACAUAGCCCAGGCAACACCACUGGAAGUAGUCGGGGGCGGGGGUGCUGCUGUGAUGUUUUCCACGCAGAAAGAAAAACAUUGCCUCUGCUGAAGAUGUCUAUAUGUGGUCUGCUAAAACAGGACUAUUAAAGGCCCUGUUUACUAACUAAAUGUACUUGUAGUUGAGUGUUUACCAGCAUUUGUAACUUCUGAGUUUGAUAAUUAUCUGCACCAAACAGUUAAUCUGAUUAAUACUGUUGGAAUAUAAAAAUAGUUGCUUGAUAUGUUUUCCAGUUUCUUGAAAUACUUUGCAAAUGCAACUUAUUUCUUUGUGAACUGAAAUGGUCUAUUCAUUCCUUUUCAGUAGACACUCUUACCCAGAGCAACUUACAGUAGGGAGUGCAUACAUUUUCAUAGUUUUUCGUACUGGUCCCCUGUGGGAAUCAAACCCACAACCCUAGCAUUGCAAGCGCCAUGCUCUACCAAGUCAGCCACAUCAUCACAAACCACUUGAUGUCUCAAUGUACUCAAUUACUCUACUGUACAUUGUUUUUCUUCAUGGUGAUGGAAAGUCUAGUUACAAUCCUAGAUGACCAGCUUGUGUACAAUACAGUAAUGUACAUUAUGUGGUUUGUAACGAUGGUAAAUUAAUACUGCACAAAAAGUGGUUGUUUUCCAUGUUAUUUGAUGAAUAAAAACAUUUACUUUCGUAUGGAUGUUUUGUGUCUUUGCCCAUAACUUUGCACCUUUUCGAUGUAAACAUUUGAGGACAGGAUUGAGUUAUUUCUGGAUUCCAUUAGAAUGACUAUUGCAGAGAAAGGGACAGGGCAACAACUCUUACAUUCCCAAGUAUUGAAUCUAGCAAAAGACUCUUCUUAAUUAUACAACUUUUUUUGCUGGUAAAAAAAAUGUUUUGCUCAUGCUACAGGCAUCUAUAUCAGUCUGCUAAUACUAGUAAAGGCCCAGUGCGCUACUUUUGUGAAAAUGUUUUAAAUAUUCAAUAUUUUUUUAAUUAAAAUAUAUUUAGAAUUCAGAUUUGAGGGGUUUAUGGGCAUAUUGUUGUAUAUGCUCCCAUUGCUCAACACUCACACGCCCUGCUGACUGAUAUACCAGCUAAAACACCAAUACAGACAGCGACCUGAUAACAAUCUAACAUAAAUAUGCCCAUAACUCCCACAAUGCUGUUACACCCCUACUUCCCGCGGCUAUGAGCCCAGGUAAACAUAAAUCAUGUAAAAAGGGAGAGCUGGAGGAUAGACAAGAAGGAGAUAAUGAGCAAUGGAGGUCAAGAGAGAAGAUGGAAUGUAGUUGAUCCUGUGGAUCAGGGUGAAUGAAAAACUUGUGACACCUAUAAUCUUUACAAAAACAUUAACACCCAGGAGGUGUGUCUGCAUGCUUGUGUGUCUUAUGUAUUAUGGUAUACAGUGCAUUCGGAAAGUAUUCAGACCCCUUGGCUUUUUCCACAUUUUGUUAUGUUACAGCCUUAUUCUAAACUGGAUUCAAUCACUUUUUUCCCCUCGUCAAUCUGCCCACAAUACCCCAUAAUUACAAAGCAGAAAUUGGUUAUUUUUUAUAUUUUAUUUUGAAAAUUUAUUCAACUUAAAACACAUCAAAUUUACAUAAGUAUUCAGACCCUUUUACUUAGUACUUUGUUGAAGCACCUUUGGCAGCAAUUAUAGCCUUGAGUCUUCUUGAGUAUUCUUCUCUGCAGAUCCUCAAGCGCUGUCAGGUUGGAUGGGAAGCGUCGCUGCUCAGCUAUUUUCAGGUCUCUCCGGAGAUCAAAUCAAAUUUUGUCACAUGCUCCGAAUACAACAGGCCUUACCGUGAAAUGCUUACUUACAAGCCCUUAACCAACAAUGAAGUUCAAGAAAUUGAGCUAAGGAAAUAUUUACUAAAUAAAGAAAAAAAUUGAAUAAAAGUAACAUAAUAAAAUAACAAUACUGAGGCUAUGUACAGGGGCUACCAGUACCGAGUUAAUGGGGUAAAGUGAUAAUGCAUAGAUAAUAAACAGUGAGUAGCAGCAAGGGGGAGGGGGGGUCAAUGUAAAUAGUCCGGGUGGCCAUUUGAUUAACUGUUCGGCAGUCUGUUGGCUUGGGGGUAGAAGCUGUUCAGGAGCCUUUUGGACCUAGACAUGGUGCUCCAGUACUGCUUAUUGUGCGGUAGCAGAGUGAAUGGUCUAUGACUUGGGUGACUGGAGCCGUUAACCAUUUUUGGGGCCUUCCUCUGAUACCACCUAGUAUAUAGGUCCUGGAUGGCAGGAAACUUGGCCCCAGUGAUGUACUGGGCCGUAUGUACUAGUCCACGUUCAUCUCCUGUGUCUUGCUCACUUUGAGGGAGAGGUAGUUGCCCUGGCACCACACUGCCAGGUCUCUGACCACCACAUUAUAGGCUGUCUCAUCUUUGUUGGUGAUCAGUCCUACCACUGUUGUCGUUAGCAAACUUAAUGAUAGUGUUUGAGUCGUGCAUGACCAUGCAAUCGUGGGUGAACAGGGAGUACAGGAGGGGACUAAGCACGCGGGGCUCCCGUGUUGAGAAUCAGCGUGGCAGAUGUGUUGUUGCCUACCCUUACCACCUGGGGCCGGCCUGUCAGGAAGUCUAGGAUCCAGUUGCAGAGGAGGUGGUGUUUAGUCCCAGGGUCCUUAGCUUAGUGAUGAGCUUUGUGGGCACUAUGGUGUUGAAUGCUGAGCUGUAGUCAAUGAACAGCAUUCUCACAUAGGUGCUCCUUUUGACCAGGUGAGAAAGGGCAGUGUGGAGUGGGAUUGAGAUCUGUUGGAGCGGUAUGCGAAUUGGAGUCGGUCUAAGGUAGUCUGCAGGAUCCUGUUGCUGUGAGCCAUGACCAGCCUUUCAAAGCACUUCAUGGCUACCGACAUGAGUGCUACAGGGCAGUAGUCAUUGUUACCUUCGCUUUCUUGGGCACAGGGACUAUGGUGGUCUGCUUUAAACGUAGGUAUUAGACUCAGUCCGGGAUAGGUUGAAAAAUGUCAGUGAAGACACUUGCCAGUUGGUCCGCACAUGCUCUGAGUACACAAUCUGGUAAUCAGUCUGGCCCCGCGGCCUUGUGAAUGUUGACCUUUUUAAAGGUCUUGCUCACAUUGGCUACGGAGAGCGGGAUCACACAGUCGUCCGGAACAGCUGGUGCUCUCAUGCAUGCUUCAGUAAUACUUGCCUCGAUGCAAGCAUAAAAGGCAUUUAUCUUGUCUAGUAGGCUCACGUCACUGGGCAGCUUGCGGCUGGGUUUCCCAUUGUAGUCCGUAAUAGUUUGCAAGCCCUGCCACAUCCGAUGAACAUCAGAGCCAGUGUAGUAAGAUUCAAUUCAAUCUUAGUCCUGUAUUGAAGCUUUGCCUGUUUGAUGGUUCGUCUGAGUGCAUAGCAGGAUUUCUUAUAAGCGUCUGGCUUAGUGUCCCGCUCCUUGAAAGCACGUGUGACAUGCUGGUAGAAAUGAUUUCAAUUUCAAAGUCCCCGACCACUAGGAAUGCCACUUCUGGAUGAGCAAUUUCUUGUUUGCUUAUUGCCUUAUACAGCUUGUUGAGUGCGGUCUUAGUGCCAGCAUCGGUUUGUGGUGGUAAAAGACAGCUACCAAAAAUAUAGAUGAAAACUCUCUUGGUAGAUAGUGUGGUCAACAGCUUAUCAUGAGGUACUCUACCUCAGGCAUUCAAACGGGUUCAAGUCCGAGCUCUGGCUGCACCACUUAAGGACUUUGGCUGCGCCACUCCUGUGUUGUCUUGUCUGUGUGCUUAGGGUCGUUGUCUGUUGGAAGGUGAACGUUCUCCCCAGUCUGAGAACCUGCUCCAGAGUGCUCAGAACUUCAUCAAGGAUCUCUCUGUACUUUGCUCCAUUCAUCUUUCCCUCGAUCCUGACUAGUAUCCCAGUCCCUUCAGCUGAAAAACAUACCCACAGCAUGAUGUGGACACCACCAUGCUUCACUGUAGGGAGGAUGCCAGGUUUCCUCCAGACGUGACGCUUGCAUUCAAGCCAAAGAGUUCAAUCUUGGUUUCAUCACACCAGAAAAUCUUGUUUUUCAUGGGCUGAGUCCUUUAGGUGCCUUUUGGCAAACUCCAAGCAGGCAGUCAUGUGCCUUUUACUGAGGAGUGGCUUCUGUCUGGCCACUCUACCAUAAAGGCCUGAUUGGUGGAGUGCUGCAGAGAUGGUUCCCCUUCCGGAAGGUUCUCCCAUCUCCACAGAGGAACUCUAAAGCUCUGUCCAAGACCCUUUCCCCCCGAUUGCUCAGUAUGGCCGGGUGGCCAGCUGUAGAAUGAAUCUUGGUGGUUCCAAACUUCUUCCAUUUAAGAAUGAUGGAGGCCACUGUUGUUUGGAACUUUUGAUGAUGCAGACAUUUUUUGGUACCCUUCCCCAGAUCUGUGCCUCGACACAAUCCUGUCUCUGAGCUUUACAGACAAUUCCUUCAACCUCACUGCUUGGUUUUUGCUCUGAAAUGCACUGUCAACUGUGGGACCUUUUUUAUAGACAGGUGUGUGCCUUUCCAAAUCAUGUCCAAUCAAUUGAAUUUACCACAGGUGGACUCCAAUCAAGUGUAGAAACAUCUCAAGGAUGAUCAAUGGAAACAGGAUGCACAUGAGCUCAAUUUUGAGUCUCAUAGCAACGGGUCUGAAUACAUAUGUAAAUAAGGUAUCUUUUUUUUAUUUGUAAUAAAUUUGCUUAAAUUUCAAAACUGUUUUCACUUUGUCAUUAUGGGGUAUUGUGUGUUAAUUGUUUCCUCAAUCUAAAUGAAUCAAUUUGAGAAUAAGGCUGUAACGUAACAACAUUUGGAAAAAGUCAAAGGGUCUGAUUCGUUUCUGAAUGCACUGUAUAACCAUUAACAUCCAUUGUAAUGAUGUAUUAAUGUUUUUCUCUACAUUUCCCUGCUGCUCCAGUUCUCAGGGACCUGUAAGGGACACACCUAUAGCUCAAGCACAGGUGAAAAGAGAAGUCUCACCAUCAUAUUAUUUUGUACCAGCCAAUUGCCCUUCAGACGAAGAGGAAGUGACAUUGCUUCCUUUUAAAGAGGAAGAGGAUUCCAAGACAGCCAUGUUGUCCUCCACGCUGGUGUCGGUUCUCGCCCCACAGUGGAGUGGGAGAAUACGCAGGAACAAGCGGGGCAUGGCCGGUACAGACAUUGGUGUGUUUGGCAUGGCAACCAGUGAGUCUGGACAGGAGAUCCAAGGUAACGGACAGGAAGUGAGUGAGGGGGGUGUGCUUUUGAAGCCGCAAGUCCCUCUCGAGACAGACUCUGUAGGACAACGACAACAACAACAGUUUCUGGAAACCCAGAACCAACGUGUUGGGGAGAGGGGGUUGACCCUUGGAUCACAAGUCCAUGAGAGGGCUUCAACACUGGGUAGCAGCAGAAGCACAGUGGGGGGCUGGUAUGAGGGAAGCACCCCCAGCCUCAAACUGGACAACCCAACAAAGGCCCCAGUUUCUAAGCCUGUCUCUCUGGAUGUGAGUUGGGGGAGGCUGGCCAACAGAGGCGGAGGGGGGGGAGCUGUUUCCCCUGUUACUCCCAGCUCUCCCCUCUCUCCCGACCUGCAUGUACGCAAAGGAAUGUUACAGGCAAGUCGUCAAGGAGCCCAGACAUCAUUGCUGAGUUCCAAACCAACAACCAGUAGCCUUCUUUUCUCUCUGAGAAGGCUCAACACUAUUGCGAGCUCUAUCCACUCAGAGACAAAUAUCUCAUCUCUAACCAAUGACAGAGAUGGAGAGACUUCAAGUCCACACCUCUCUCCAACCACAACCAAUUACAAAGCAUCAGAGACAAUUAGGGCACAUCUUUCCUUAACCUCAUCCAAUGAUGGAGCCAGAGAGAGGUCCAAGUUCCUCCCCUAUUCAGCUGAUCCCACUUACAGGACAAUAGAGAGGUCAAGGCACCUCCCCUUACCAACUUCCAAUCACAGAGAAGCAAAUACACACAGGACACAACUAUUUUCAACCUCGCCCAAUUACAAAGACACAGAGGGCACACCCUUUACCAAACUUCCCCAGACUUCCAGGGCGUAUCCCAACCGAACCUCCCCCAGGAAGCAGACUCUUCUGUUUAGUGGUCUAGAGAGACUUUCCCCCUCAGAGAGACCAGAUGGAACCACGGUUCCCAUCAGUGAUACUCAUCUACCUUCCUCUCCACCGUCCCAAUAUGACCACCUGGAUUUUCAUGGGAGCCAGUCUCUUCCCAGAGGAACCACCCUGAGAUCUACUAGCUGGAGAAAGCACAUUACUCUGAAGGACAGUGUGUCUAAUCCCAGUUCCCCCCUCAGUCCCACUUCCACCACCACUAUCAACAACAACAACAACACAUUCAGCCUCUCAAGCACUUCCAGCAAUAAUAACACGGAUCCCUCUAGCACCAAUGAUAACACUGGUGUCAAUCCCCAAAUCACCAUCAAUAACAACAAUAAUUUAGUCACCCCCAACAAUACCAACCUAAACAGCAAUACUGUCACUGGCAAACACACACCUCAGAGCACCCUUAAAAGGACUUAUGCUCAAGAUAUCCCAGACCAGGAUUCCUAUAGAAUACUCAAAACUCAGAAUUCCCUUAACUCGAAUGACCGACAAUCACAAAAGCCCUAUUGUUUGUCCAAUAUCUCCUUCAGGUCUAACACCAGUAGCCCAGCUAGCUCGAGCACUUUGAGUAACCCAAUAAAGUCCAGCAAGCCUGAUCGCUACAGUAGGCCAUGUAGUUAUGACACCAUCUACACCCCUCUGACCGUAUUUAGCCCCAAGACUCCAACCAGCUCUGAAACCAGUGACACUCCAUCCUCCCUCAGUAGUCAUAGAACCCUUUAUUUGUCCCAUUCCCCGAACCCCUCUUCCAGACAGCUCUCCUUACAAACCAGUAUCGCCUCCACAUCACUCAGUAGACACAGACCCCUCUAUAGUUCCCGCUCACUCAAUACCGCCAGCUCUAUAAGACAAGACCCCCAAAACAGCCCAAAAUCUCCACCCCCAGUCGUCAGAAGCCAGAUUCCCAUAGUGAGUAACAUCCACACCCCCACAUCCCAACUGCAGUCCCCUAAAACUGCUUACACGCCUACCACAACUCCCCAACCACUCCUACUUAAAACCGGCUACGUCCCCAGUAUCCCGACCCGCUACACCCGACCGUUGUCUCCAGACAGCUAUACCCCCAUAUCCCUGAGUAUCCCCACCACCCAGGCCCCCUCCACCCUGCCCCUCUCCCCACCUAGCUCGUCCCCUCUGGUGGAAAGGACGUUCAUAGGCAGCCUAGACCUCUCGCCUAAGAAACACCAGCCCCAAGUGGAAGGGAGGGUAACAGCACAUAGAGCGUGGCAGGAGUCACAACUAAGGCUGUCACAGUCUCAUUCACCUCAGAGUCCUCUGUCCCCAACCAGACCCCUCCGUAGUGUAGGGGGUCCCGCCAUCUUCUCCUCCCUGAGAUCGGGCAGCCCAACCUGGGCUACGUCACCUCUGUCUCCCCCAACCCUCAGGACCACCAAACUACAAGUUUGGAGGGGAACCUCGAUGCAUAACUUAUCCAUAAUAUCUGAUACAUUGGUGAAGGAGGGAGGGCAAGCUCUCUCAGAGCAUGUUAGCGACCACACUUCAAACGUCACAGUCAAACACACAGGAAUUGACUCGACCGUAAUAGGAUCACAGAGGAAGACCGCUGCCCCUCUCUCCCUUCCAGAAUUUGGGAGCUUUUCCAAGCCACGAUUUAGCUCCCCGCCCUAUUCCACACUCAAGUCUUCACGCCCAACACAGGGUGAGGUCACACACACAACAUCACACCAACCCCUUCUCUCACCCCCUACCUCACCCCAACACUGCCCCUUCUACGGCCAUCACAGGGCUAGGUCACAGGACAGUUCAAAGAUUGUUGCCUUGGAAAUUGAUCGUGUCAACAACAACUCCAAAGAGACCAGUCAAGAAAAUGUUGAGACACUUGUGUACAGGAUUUCUAAAGUUGAUUCCUCUGCCAUAUUGGACAGUAUUAGGCCUGCACAGCCCUGCUUUCCUCGACGCAAACCAGACACACGAGUCGUCACAGGGAUAAAGUCCAAUGAACUCUGCCGUCUACCUUCACAACACAGCCAGGUGAUUGGAAGUCCCAGCUGUCAAUCAUCCCAAAGCUCCAAUGACAGUGGAGCAUUAGACAUUGAGAAGGUUGUGUGUAAAAGCGAGAGUUUCCCUAAGAGUGCAGCGGCUCCAUUACAAACCCAGAGCCCAAAGAAAGGCUUAUUCUCACUGAGAGGUAAGAGAGACAAUGUUGUUGGUACGCCUGCUACCAAUAUCCCUAGAAACCCAGCGAUGCCUCAGUCUGAGAAACCAAAGAAAGAGUCAGAGAAGGAGCAAAAGGAAAGUAACAAAAUAGACCUGGUGCUGAGUCGACUCCGGCAGACCUUCAGAGUCAAACGUCUCGAUGACGAGAGGAUGAAGAGAACACCCCAGCCUCCUCCUGUCAAUGGAGCCAGUGACAUUAGUGAUGUCACAGAGAGUAGUGGUUCUAGCAAUCAAGAAGAGGAGGAAAAAUGGAGGGAGAAUGAUGGCGUUCACAAACCUUCAAACUCUUUCUGGGCUGGCAGUGAGCACACGUCAGAUUUGAUGAAGGAAAAUGUUAGACGUGAACACUCACAGUUUGAGGGUUUUAAAGACCAUAAAGAGGCUAGAAACAGAGACCAGCCUUGUGUUAUGGAUCUUCCUCAAUUUGAGGCUUACAAGGACGAAAGGAUCACUAAACCCAAACACCAACCUUCUAGUAGCGAGAUCAGCCCAACAAGGCGGCAGUUUGAAGCUUACAAAGAGGAGAGGAUCAGUAGAGCCAGAAAGCAACCUCCUCAGAGAGACUUCAACUCUGUUAUGCGUCAACCCUGGGACCCCAGCCGCUCUGCAACCCUCCCUGCCUACAGAACCUCCUCAGGCAGCACCAGAAACACUUUCUCUGUCUUCCACUUCAGCCAGAAGGACUCUGAGAACGAUAACGUGUUCCACAUUCCCAGGAUUCCUCAGAGGAAGAAGACCACCUCUCUCUGUGAGCCAGGGGACAGGGAGUUCGGUUCCGGUGAUCAGCGUGGCAGUGAGGGACGUCUGGCAUCCUUCUCCUCCUGUGCUGAUCUCAAAUACGGUCUUGAGGCUGGGCGUUCCUUCUCUGUGACUUCUGUGCUCUCCAGCCGACCUUCGGGUCCUGGACGCAUCUCCUCAAGCCCUAGGGUCAGCAGUGUCAGUGACCUCACUUACCCUGCUCUGACCUUUGGAGAAGAGGUCAUGACUUGGGAUGACUGUAGGGUCAAAGGUGAUUGGACAAUACCAAGGUGGGACACACACACAACAACUGGCCACAAAACCAUAGGUGACAGCCAAGCUGUAAAUGACUGGUCUGUCGUUAGUGACAGGACAUCCAGAAAUGAGUGCAAAACAAUCAAAGCUAAUUUUAUAAAUCCACACAAGGCUAGAUCUAAAUCCCUACCCAGAAAUGUAUCCUGGAGUUCAGAGGUCACCGCCCCAUCUCCAACCUCUACCACCACUGGCCGCAUGUGGAACCAUGGCAGCCUGGAGACCUCUCACUCCCUGUGGGAUACAGAGGGUCCUCCAACCCCCCCUCCGUCCCCUCCCUGGUCCCCAGCCUCCAGACGCAUAUCUCGCCCUCCCAGCUCCUCCUCUGCCUCGCCCUCCCCCACAGACAGCAGGGCAUCACAGGACAGCCUGUCCCCUAGGGGGCGCCUACCCUCCAGGGGCUAUGUCUCCAACCUGGCAGUCUUUGAGGAGUCUGACUCAGGCUCUGACAUGGACUCUGACACAACCACAGAUGAUGAAUACUACCUGGCAGGUGAUGGCGGUGAGAAGGAGACUGAACUGUGAGAAGAAAUACUGUAUGGGAUGCAUCUCAAUAUUCUAAAGUGGGUCUGUCUGUCUCCUUUUGGUCUCCUUAUAUAGAAAUGAUACUUAUUUACACACCUAUUUAUGCUCACUAAAACAGACUUGUUAAGUGUGCAUGGCUCUGGGCCUCCCGAGUGGUGCAGUGGUCUAAGGCACUGCAUCGCGGUGCUAGCUGUGCCACUAGAGAACCUGGUUAGAGUCCAGGCACCUGUCCGCGACCGGGGGACCCAUGACGCGGUGCACAAUUGGCCCAGCGUGGUUUGGGUUAGGGCAGGGUUUGACAUGCCGGGAUGUUCCUGUCCCAUCGUGCACUAGCGACUCCUGUGGUGAGCCGGGUGCACACUGUCACAGUCUCCAGGUGUACGGCGCUUCCUCCGACACAUUGGUGCUUCUGGGUUAAGCGGGCAUUGUGUCAAGAAGCAGUGUCGGCUUGGCUGGGUUGUGUUUCAGGGGACGCUUGAGUUGCAGCGAUGGGACGAGACUGUAACUACCAAUUGAAUACCAUGAAAUUGGGGUGAAAAAGGGGUAAAAUAAUGAAAUCAAAUAAAAAGUGCAUGGCUGACAGUAAAGAAGUCAGCACUGUCAGAUCACAGGUUAAUGUCAUGCUCUUAUCCUGGGAUCCAAAGAGCAGCCCACAUGAACUCUACACCAUAUCCAAGAGCAUGGCACUCUGUUUUUUUGUCAUGUCACAGGUUGCUUGGUUACUUGACUUUCUCAUGUCUGAUAUUUGUUUAGUUAUCAGUGGGAAGUGUACUGUAUAUGCUAGGUUAAAGGUAUUUAUGAACAAAGAGAUCUAGCUAUAAAGCUAUCCUAUCCUGUUUUAUUACUUCUGCAGCUGUUCUAACCAUGGCCUUUAUUCACAAAGUGUAUCAGAGUAGGAGUGCUGGUCUAGGAUCAGGUCCCCCCUGUACAUAUGAUCAUAUUCAUUGUGAUCUGAAGCCAAAACUGAUCUUAGGUGAGCACUCCUAAACUAAGACUCCUUGUGAAUACUGACCCUGUUGUGGUAGAGUCCUGUACCCGGGUGAGAGGUAUACCUACCAUACUCAGUUUGGCUGGGGUCACAUUUCAUUGUCAAGUGCUGCCUAUCAAUAUGCUUUAAGCUAGCUUGCUAUAUGAUAUGCAAGAUGAAUAUCUUUGAAUGUUUUAAUUCUCAUGGAAAUCAGUAUUUUCUAUUUUGGUUGUCUUGGAAGGUUUUCCUGAAAUGCAUAUGUGUGCAUUAUAAACAGAUGAUUGUUAUAAAAAAUGUGUGAAUUACUUUUUGUGCAAUUCAACAGUUGUUUUUGGAUCAAGUAUAUGGUAAAUAUAUUUUGAAUGAACAAUAAACCAGUUCUAAUUCUGUAUCUGCCCCUUUGUAUUUUAUAAAUAUAUAUAUAUAUAUUAUAUAUCAAACUGUUAUGCCCAACUAUCAUAUCUAACCAAAGACUGUGUGCUGUGACAUUAGUGUUUUGACUUUCCCCUUGGAUACCUGAAUAGUUAUGCCUGCCACCAACACCACAAGAGCAUUCCUACCAAACCACAUUCCAACUAUACUAAUGAACCUAGACUAACAAUACUGAACACAAUGCCUUAUUACAUACUUGCUGAUUUAAAUAGUGCA
ensembl:lncRNA